CCUACGGGCGGCAGCAGUGAGGAAUAUUGCUCAAUGGACGAGAGUCUGAACCAGCCAAGUAGCGUGAAGGAUUACUGCCCUAUGGGUUGUAAACUUCUUUUAUAUGGGAAUAAAAUGUUCCACGUGUGGGAUUUUGUAUGUACCAUAUGAAUAAGGAUCGGCUAACUCCGUGCCAGCAGCCGCGGUAAUACGGAGGAUCCGAGCGUUAUCCGGAUUUAUUGGGUUUAAAGGGAGCGUAGGUGGAUUGUUAAGUCAGUUGCGAAAGUUUGCGGCUCAACCGUAAAAUUGCAGUUGAAACUGGCAGUCUUGAGUACAGUAGAGGUGGGCGGAAUUCGUGGUGUAGCGGUGAAAUGCUUAGAUAUCACGAAGAACUCCGAUUGCGAAGGCAGCUCACUGGACUGCAACUGACACUGAGGCUCGAAAGUGUGGGUAUCAAACAGGAUUAGAUACCCUUGUAGUC
rnacentral:rRNA from 1 species